rnacentral:lncRNA from 1 species
GACUGGAGCUAGAAGGGGGCAGGGAAAUGGGACGAUGACCAGAUGUGGCCCAUGGCAAGGCCGUGCAUUGUGAAGGGAGGAGGAGGGUCUGAGAUCCGGGAGCCCUGCAGAGAGUUUGCUGAAGAGUGAAGAAAGGACGGCGUUAGUAAUGGGAUGAGGGAUACUGGAGUCCGAAUUAACAUAGCACACAGAGAGAUAUUCAGGAAAAUACAUCAUAUCUUGCACUUGGGUGGAAAAGAGCAGAAAUCCUUGGUUAACAGGAUUAUACGCAAUGGUGCAGAAAGCAUUCUCUAAAGAAAAAUCAGAGAGGAAGAAACACUGCAUGGAGAAUCCAAGAAACACUCUAAGAAUUGAAGUUAAAAUGUCGGAGGAGGCCUCGUAUGUCUUCUUCUAGGAGGACUCUCAGCUGAUGUUGGUUUUUUUAGUCUGUAUGAGCGAUGGACAAGCUGUCACUACCCAUUAGAUUUUGGGUGGUCCCAGGGGACCAUCCCAAGUUUGAGGAAAGUUGGCAAUGGAAAAAGGAGCAUCUGAUAGGAGCAGUCAGUGAAGUCCUUGGUUCUUACAGAGGCAGAGAGCAUGCUGUUCAGGCGCAGAUGCUGGCGUUGGACACACCCAGAUGUCAGUGUGAAAAGAAAAUAAAAUUCCGGGACCCCAAACUCAAUACACCAAAGGGAAAAGGAAAGCUUGGAAGCUGAGUCACACAAAAAAUCGGUCUUUUGUUUCUAAAUAGACAGCUACAAGAUAAAAGGACACAUGUCUCUCCAGGUGGCCUCCCUCACCUUGACAGUGUGAAUUAACAGCUUAUCUUCAUGGACAUGGGACAAGAGGAGACUGGAAAUCAUCUCCCACACCACCCUCUCCAAGACAAAUUCAUAUUUAACUUCUACUUCUGCUCUGUUGACUUUAUCCUAUGUAAAGUACAGAUUUACUGAGCACGAGA